UACGGGGGGAGCAAGCGUUGUUCGGAUUUACUGGGCGUAAAGGGCGCGUAGGCGGCAGAUUAAGUCAGCUGUGAAAUCUCCGAGCUUAACUCGGAACUGUCAGCUGAUACUGUUUUGCUAGAGUGCGGAAGGGGCAAUCGGAAUUCUUGGUGUAGCGGUGAAAUGCGUAGAUAUCAAGAGGAACACCUGAGGUGAAGACGGGUUGCUGGGCUGACACUGACGCUGAGGCGCGAAAGCCAGGGGAGCAAACGGG
rnacentral:rRNA from 1 species